GAGUUUGAUCAUGGCUCAGGAUGAACGCUGGCGGCGUGCCUAAUACAUGCAAGUCGAGCGAACGGACGAGAAGCUUGCUUCUCUGAUGUUAGCGGCGGACGGGUGAGUAACACGUGGAUAACCUACCUAUAAGACUGGGAUAACUUCGGGAAGCCGGAGCUAAUACCGGAUAAUAUUUUGAACCGCAUGGUUCAAAAGUGAAAGACGGUCUUGCUGUCACUUAUAGAUGGAUCCGCGCUGCAUUAGCUAGUUGGUAAGGUAACGGCUUACCAAGGCAACGAUGCAUAGCCGACCUGAGAGGGUGAUCGGCCACACUGGAACUGAGACACGGUCCAGACUCCUACGGGAGGCAGCAGUAGGGAAUCUUCCGCAAUGGGCGAAAGCCUGACGGAGCAACGCCGCGUGAGUGAUGAAGGUCUUCGGAUCGUAAAACUCUGUUAUUAGGUAGAACAUAUGUGUAAGUAACUAGUGCACAUCUUGACGGUACCUAAUCAGAAAGCCACGGCUAA
rnacentral:rRNA from 1 species